rnacentral:ncRNA from 1 species
UGAUAGCUGUGAAGCGGGAGGUUGCUGCUCACUUCCAGGAAGCAGGGAAUUUCCGCUGAGCGAAUGUCAAGUCAAGAAACUGGCGACA